UACGGGGGGGGCAAGCGUUGUUCGGAAUUACUGGGCGUAAAGGGCUCGUAGGCGGCCAACUAAGUCAGACGUGAAAUCCCCAGGCUCAACCUGGGAACUGCGUCUGAUACUGGAUGGCUUGAAUCCGGGAGAGGGAUGCAGAAUUCCAGGUGUAGCGGUGAAAUGCGUAGAGAUCGGGAGGAACAUCAGUGGCGAAGGCGGCCAUCUGGGACAACACUGACGCUGAAGCACGAAAGCGUGGGGAGCAAACAGG
rnacentral:rRNA from 1 species